UAUAUCCUGCUUCCUUCUAAUUCAUACUAAGACAAGAAAAUAUGUAAUUUUUUUGGAAACUGAUUUAACUGUUGGCCUGCCAGGAUUAAAAAUCACAAUUAUAACAAUUUUGAAUAGAAUUAAGCUUCAGCCUUAGUAACCCAAAUAACGUGAAUAAAGUUUUGAAGCCCAUCUUCUGUAUUUUCCUCUAUGUUCCCUGUUGUUCCAAGCUACAUACACAUUCCAAGUUUUUUUUUAAAUCAAGUAUUUAAUUCAGGAGAGCAAAAGCAUCCAAUUUUAGAUAAUAAAAAUUGCUUCACAGAGUUUCUUUCUAUUCAUCUUUAUGCAUACAUCAUGCUUCAAAAAUAGUGAAUGAAUUUUAGAAUAUAUAAUGAAUUUUAUAAACCUUUCCCAAAUGCUUAUAAUUCAUGUGGGGUAUAAUUUACCCAAUUAUAAAAAAUAGUUUAUUAUACCUCAAUAUAAAAACAGUUAUGUAUGUAAUUAGGCUUAAUACUUCCCUGACUACAAACUUUUAAGCUUAACAUAUGCUCAAGGAGGGAAGUAAAUCAAUCAGAUUUUCAGAAAUCUUAAAAGUACUUUCUACAAGUUUUCCCAAACUACAGUUACUGGUCAUGUAGAAAGAGAUGUCUGUCUUCUUUGAUAAGCCUAAGGGCAACAGAUGUAAAUGCCAGUUACAGUCUGUGUGUUUAUCAUACUUUGCUUAGGAAACUUUCAGCUCUAGAAACAGUUAAGAGCAAACAAUAA